GACGAACGCUGGCGGCGUGCUUAACACAUGCAAGUCGAGCGGAGCGGCGAACGGGUGAGUAAAGCGUGAGUAACUGCCACCCUCUCUGGGAUAAAAGUUGGAAACGGCUGCUAAUACCGGAUAGUGGGGGGGGACUCGGGUACUAUCAGAUUGGUGGUGGGGUAGGGGCGUACAAAGGCGACGACGGGUAGCCGGCCUGAGAGGGCUACCGGCCACAUUGGGCUGAGAUACGGCCCAAACUCCUACGUGAGGCAGCAGUGGGGAAUAUUGCACAAUGGUGGAAACCCUGAUGCAGCAACGCGCGUGCGGGAUGACGGCCUUCGGGUUGUAAACCGCUUUCAGCCAUGACGCGGUAGUGGCAGAAGAAGCACCGGCUAACUACGUGCCAGCCGCCGCGGUAAUAC
rnacentral:rRNA from 1 species